rfam:TPA: Bos taurus chromosome 5, whole genome shotgun sequence.
UCAAAGGUUUCAUUUGAAACCACUCUUGCACACAAGUAAACAAUU